rnacentral:rRNA from 1 species
CAAUAGCGUAUAUUAAAGUUGUUGCGGUAAAAAAGCUCGUAGUUGGAUUUCUGUCGAGAGCGACCGGUCCAUACCAUGUAUGCGUAUCUGGCUUGCUCUCGGCAUCCUCUCGAUAGACGUUACUGCGCUUGAUUGCGUGGUGCGGAUCUCGGGACUUUUACUUUGAGGAAAUUAGAGUGUUCACGGCAGGCUUUCGCCAGAAUACAUUAGCAUGGAAUAAUACUAUAGGAUCUUGGUUCUAUUUUGUUGGUUUCUAGAAUUGAGAUAAUGAUUAAUAGGGACAAUUGGGGGCAUUCGUAUCAACACGUCAGAGGUGGAAUUCUUGGAUUGUGUUGCGACGAACUACUGCGAAAGCAUUUGCCAAGGAUGUUUUCAUUGA